rnacentral:lncRNA from 1 species
CUUCUUUCGCUUGCCGGUGAGGUCGAUGGAGCAGUCGAUGUCCUCGAUGACGAUGAUGGACUUGCUCUUGGUCUCGAUGAAGAGCUUCCUGAGCUCCGUGUUGCUCUUGACCGCCGUGAGCUCCAGGUCGUAGAUGUCGUAGCCCAGGUAGUUGGCCAUGGCGGCGAUCAUGGUGGACUUGCCGGUGCCGGGCGGGCCGAACAGCAGGUAGCCGCGCUUCCACGCCU